GUGCGCUCAGCGCUGACUAGUAGCUGUCCCCGGGCCAUGGAGAGGGCUAAGCUGCCUCCUUGGGAGGUGGGAGAGACGUUUCUUUUCCUUCUGCAAUCUCAUCUUAGGGCCAUCUCUCACCAAGCCUAGCCUGCAGCUCGGGAACCCGCGAUACCCGGCCGGGGGACGACAGGGGGCGACAAACUGUAAGGUUUUCCCUAUGCCCGACCGUGCAGAAGGCUGCAGCGAGGGCUGUGUGCUCCCGAUCGCGCACAGCUGGCUGCGGGAAAGGGGCCAGGAUUGAGACGAAGGCUCGCGGACUCUGCUACCGGGGAGAACCACCCCCUCUCAUCGUGCGCAAUCCCCAGACUCACCCCUCUACAGUAGCCCCCAGCCACGGGCGGCCUUCACGGGGACGGGGGCGGAGUUUUGUCCUGGACUGCGACUCCUUGCCACUUUUCCAAGCUCGGCAGCAGAGGUGGGGUGGACGUUCCCCUGAAAGGGUAGUUGGGCGAACCAGCUCUCACGGUGUCACGACCGGCUUUAUUUCCUCGUCUUUAGAGUGUGCCUGUUGACUCCUCACCUACUGGGGGGAAGAAGCGGCUUUAGCUGCUUUUCCGGAUCACGAGUAUCCACUGGACUGAGGCAGGGAUGUGGCGUUCCUUUAUCUCAGAGACUCCAAGGUCUGGAAAUCAACCUUUCUUGGUAUCUCGCGCCCGACGAAGCUAGCAGAUUCCGCAAUGGAGAGCACUGGGCAGGGUCUCCAGGACCUCCCAGAGCCAGAGACUGUACUGUGUUCAUGCCGCCGGAGAGGAAGAGUUCACUUCUUUUAAACCUGAUUUUUCUUUUUCCAGGAGUAAUUCUUGUCUGUGGCCCCACCGCGUGCUCUCUCUAGAGAGUCCAGGAAUUAUGAGCCAGUCACUCCUGACAGAUACAUUUAGACAGGUGGAUUAGGAGCCAGGGAUGCUCUCUGGCCCUACAGCGGAGGCAAAGGGGUCGGGGCCUCCGCAGCCAUGGCUCCCCAGGGUGGGCUGAUAGGGUCCAUGUGCUCCUCAGCCACUGUCACCGCGCUGGCGCCAUACUCAACUCUGGGUGGCUAAGGAGAGCUAGACCCUUGGGGUGGGCAGGAGGGAGGGGAAGAGGGUUCUCUCCUCCAGGGGAGCGCUGGGAGUCUCAGAAACCUCGGCUGUUCCUACUCUCUCCCCUAUGCCCUCUUCCUGGUCUAGCACAUUCAGCCCAAUGCCUUUGGUGCUUACUGGGCUCAACCUCAGAGCUCUCAGAUCCUGACCCCCUCAAAUCAGUUCAUGUUCAAAACCACGAGUUUCCUCCUCUUGGCCCUCACCGCAUGGCUCCCGGACACAGUUAGCUGCACAGGUUGGGGAGUUCAGAACUGCUUUGGUGCAGGGUAGAAACAGAGAAAUUGUUGAUGUUCAAUCUCAGGGGUGAAUAAUUCAGGGCUGCGCAAAACCUCAUUUAAAUGAAGGAGAAAUGACCAUUCUGUGGUUUAACAGAGACUUCCUGAAGCUGCAGGUGCUGGGAGAAAGACGAGGCCAGGCCACCUGGGAUAGAGUGGUGCGAGAUUCCACCGCCAGGGAGAAAGGAACUUGUCCUUCAGACCUAGAGCUGGAGCUAUGCAUUUGGCCUCCCGCCGGUCGCGCUUGGGGACAGGAGGGCGCCGGAUCUAUGCGCCCCUUAGCAGCAGAUCGGGAUCCUUUUGCCUCCUGCCCCUUCUGUCACUGCUUGGAGAGGGAUGAGUUCUGGUGGCUGGGCCUGGCUGUAGGAGACAGGAUUUGGACCGUGCCCCUCUCGCAUCACCGAAAUCACCCCCACUAUUCCAAGAGUGGUUGGCUAUUAAACGUGAAGAUUUCCUGAGAGAAGGAUUGAGGACCUGGCCAGGAAUGGGACACAAGUUCCGCCUUGUGUCUUCCUGACAGGAGCCCUGCACCGCGCUGGACGCUCACCUUGACACUCCCAGCCAGCUGGGGUACUGAUCCCACCCUUCCCCGGCCGCUGCCCCGGGAGUGGGGAGGUAGAGAGAGCCACACCCGAAACACCUUUCCACGAUAAACUUUUAUUCUCUAUCUUAUUAUUAAUGGUGGCGGAAAUAAAACUAAAACCAAAACGAAAACG
rnacentral:lncRNA from 1 species